rnacentral:rRNA from 1 species
UACGUAGGGUGCGAGCGUUUGUCCGGAAUUAUUGGGCGUAAAGAGCUCGUAGGCGGCUUGUCGCGUCGGAUGUGAAAGCCCGGGGCUUAACUCCGGGUCUGCAUUCGAUACGGGCAGGCUAGAGUUCGGUAGGGGAGAAUGGAAUUCCCGGUGUAGCGGUGAAAUGCGUAGAGAUGCGGCGGACACCGAUGGCGAAGGCAGCCCCCUGGGCUGAGAUUGACGCUCAGGCACGAAAGCGUGGGGAGCAAACAGG